rnacentral:misc_RNA from 1 species
UGAAGUAAAAGUCGUAACAAGGUUUCCGUAGGUGAACCUGCGGAAGGAUCAUUAUCGUAUCUCUGACGGGGUUCGGCGCGCCCUGCUCCGGCCCAAACGGCCGUGCAGCGGGUUCCCGUCCCUGUUCACACCUCACAAACCCACUGUGAACCUUCACGGCGGAAGGGAGGAGACUCCCCGAGGCCGCAUACCAAACCCCAGUCGUAAAGAAUGUCGUGCGGACUUUGCGCCGCCUAAAACACAAAACAACUUUCAACAACGGAUCUCUUGGCUCUC